rnacentral:rRNA from 1 species
UACGUAGGGUACAAGCGUUGUCCGGAAUUAUUGGGCGUAAAGAGCUCGUAGGUGGUCUGUCACGUCUGCUGUGGAAACGCAAGGCUCAACCUUGCGCGUGCAGUGGGGUACGGGCGGACUAGAGUGCAGUAGGGGGAGUCUGGAAUUCCUGGUGUAGCGGUGAAAAUGCGCAGAUAUCAGGAGGAACACCGGUGGCGAAGGCGGGGACUCUGGGCUGUAAACUGACGCUGGAGGAGCGAAAAGCGUGGGGAGCAAACAG